UACGGGGGGGGCAAGCGUUGUUCGGAAUUACUGGGCGUAAAGGGCUCGUAGGUGGCCAACUAAGUCAGACGUGAAAUCCCUCGGCUUAACCGGGGAACUGCGUCUGAUACUGGAUGGCUUGAGUUUGGGAGAGGGACGCGGAAUUCCAGGUGUAGCGGUGAAAUGCGUAGAUAUCUGGAGGAACACCGGUGGCGAAGGCGGCGUCCUGGACCAAUACUGACACUGAUGAGCGAAAGCGUGGGUAGCAAACGGG
rnacentral:rRNA from 1 species